rnacentral:rRNA from 1 species
AUUGAACGCUGGCGGUAUGCUUAACACAUGCAAGUCGAACGAUGAAAUUCCAGCUUGCUGGAAUGGAUUAGUGGCGGACGGGUGCGUAACGCGUGGGAAUCUACCUUGUAGUGGGGGAUAGCCCGGAGAAAUCCGGAUUAAUACCGCAUAAUCUCUACGGAGGAAAGUGGGGGAUCUUCGGACCUCACGCUAUUAGAUGAGCCCGCGUUGGAUUAGCUAGUUGGUAGGGUAAUGGCCUACCAAGGCAACGAUCCAUAGCUGGUUUGAGAGGAUGAUCAGCCACACUGGGACUGAGACACGGCCCAG